CAGCUUCUAUUCAACGCUGCAUCUACGUUUUUAGUGUUGUCCAUAACGAUCUGUCCGAUAAUUGGAUUUAACAGAUUUUCAAAGUGACUGUCAAAAGAAUUCUCUGAUAUAGUUAACGCUGUUUCCCAGGCGUCAUCCGUUGAAGUUGUAUCUACAUGAUUCUCGACGUUUUCCACGAUGUCGUCUAUUGUCUUCGAACCCAUCUUUUGUACUCUUCCGACAAUCCUAUCGUACGAUAUUUGGACCUGAUCAUCAAGGAACCUAUUCAUUAGGCAAACACAUAUAUCUACUAAAAUCAUAUCGAAUUCAUCCAAAGUUGUAGAAUUCACAAGAAGGGACAUGCAAUACAUGUUGAAACGAUACCAAACUUUUUCGCGGCGAUCAACAUUGCUUUCUCUAUUCCGCCUUUGACGCCCUAUGGCACUCAAAUUUUUAUGAACGAUAUGCAUGAAAUGACUACACCCGACAUGUGGUAUCCUAAGGACGAAGUCGCCUUCUGCACCAUUUUUAUGUAGCAACCGAUAUGCUCUAUUUAGGAACAUCACCAACGAUUCGUUAUUAAAUUCUCUAAGAAUUGCUAAGAUUCGCUGUCAUCUGCUUGAGGUGGGUGGUAUACUACACAAACAAUAAUACAUGAAAUUCCUCUGGGAAGCCGGUAAGGUCUCAGUUUAAUCCACAAACACUCAUGGUUAGGACAAUCUAGGUUUGGAAGGGUCACGAAGGGUAUUGAAGAUUUGACAAAUACGCAAACUCCUCCGCCCCGUUUCUCAACACAGUCAUUUCGAACUAAAGCAUAACCCUAAAUGUGUACACAGCUGUCAGGAACAUUUGAAUUUAGCCAAGUCUCAGUUAUUCCAGCCAGAUCUACCUCGUUUGUUUUUAAAACGACAUCCAAUUCAUCAAUUUUAUUAGAUAUAGCCCUCACAUUUGAUAGGAAGAGUUUUGGUAGUUGGGUGUCUCUAAUUGGGGCAGGUUUACUUAAAUGUUUCCUAAUUGUAGCUAUUUUUAUCAAAUUUUGUAAGUGCCUUCUCUCUUCUUAACUUUUAAAAUUGUUUUGCAGUUGGUAAUUCGAAUACUCGUCGACGUCGGCUGUUGAUUUAGCUUCUUUCAAACUGUUUAUUUGAAUAAUAAUGCUAUCCAUUUGAUUAAGUAUAUUAUCGACCCCUGACUUCAUUUUACUAAUUUCUUGGGAAUUCUUUUCAAUCCUUUUUUCAUGAUUCGAUUCAGCGAUUGCUAUAUCGAGUUUGGUUCCUUCUAGAUCGGCGGAUAGCUCGUUACAACGGCAAGAGGACUCCGAAGCACUUGAACGCGUGGCGCUAUUUAGUUCAACGACACUUGGAUUACCCAAAGGCGAUAUCAACCUUUGCUCAAUCACAUGGUUGUUAGCUUCAAGAAGAAGUGUUUUCUUCUUACACCACCAAGUCAUGAUUGGGACAUCAUCACACCAGAGUACUUUUCUUCAUUCUCCGCCAGGCGAUGUCUACACGCCGUCAAUUUUCAAAUAUUCGCGUUCCUUCGCCAACUGCGGUAUAAAUGCUUCCUUCUUAAAGCCGUAUUUCUGAGGCCACAUUUUGUCAAGAUGAUACCCCAGUACCCUUGCGGUCUUCUCCAGCCCUCUCCUAUUUCUCUUCCUUAGCCAUAGAUAGCAUUACCUCGAUCACAUUUUCGAACGAUACAAAACCAGGGGAACGUUUCUUACGUCGUACCAUCUUCACAGCGGAUGAAUAGAUUAAAUAUUUACAUUGUGAAUGAUAUAAAGUUAAAGUAGAAAUAUGAUCAGGGGUGGAUCCAAGUGCACAAAUUUGCAUUACAAAACAAACAAAGAUUUAACAAAGUGGUUAUUUUUAGCAGUUUUCUUGUGUUUAGUGCUGGAUUCGGGGAAUAUGAUAUAUGCAUGCGAGGUGAGGAUGUGCGGAACAUUGUGGUAGAGGAUGUGCGGAACAUUGUGGUAGAGGAUGUGCCUUUAUGACCCUAUGGCUAUGGUGAUGUUGAAAGAAGAAAGAAGCUUCCACAAAAAAAUUAGAUUACUGAUAGCACACCUUCAAGCAAUAUGUCCAGACACAAGUCCACCAGAUGUAAAAUAUUUUGAUAAUGCCACAAAGUUUGAACCAAGACAACUUGAUGGAAGCUCAUGUGGUGUUUUUGUAUGCAUGGUAGCUGAUUAUAUGGUCAAUGGUUUGGAAGGAAGACAUACCAUGUUUAAGGAAAUACAUGGCUGUUCGCCUAGCAAAUCCUGAAAAGUACUCCAAAUACCAAUAAGGUAUGUUAAUGAAUGUCACUUAAAAUCUAUUGUUGACAGAAUGGAAUUGUUGAGAACUAUUCUCAUUAAACUAAAUUUUUGGUGGCAAGUACAAGACAAUUCAUUAACCAAUACCAAAUGCUUUCAGGAAACAAAGUGAACAUCACAACAAGGAUGACCAUGGCACAUACACACUUAAAGCAAAGGUUACAAAUAUUUUGUCUCUAUCAGAUGAUGGCUUGGAGCAGGUCUUUAAAGAAGUGUUAAAGAAAGGUGAUAAAGGAUUUUUAACAAUUAGCUUGGUUUGUAAGCGAUUUAGAGUCUUAGACAGAUAUAGUGGCUGCAGGGCGUGGUGGCUGGGGGGGCCGGGGGGGCCGCGGCCCCCCUGUGAAGCUCUUGAGAAGGGGCCCAAAUGCAAACGACAUAUCAACCUGAUGAAUUUCGAGCAGACAUGAAGGAAGCUAUACAAAGUGAGCUGCACCAAUUUUUCAAAUCAACUGACUUUAAGACGAUUCUAUCUGAAGCAGUAAAUACUCUCAUCGAACAGUCCGUCCAACAAGCUACAUUUCCUCUUCUAAAGCGAAUUGAAGCGCUGGAGACAGAGUUAACAAAUGUCACGAUAAAAGCGAAUGAAAAUGAGCAAUACUCAAGAAAAUAUAACCUACGAAUUAUAGGGUUGGACGAAACCGAUGGUGAAG